rnacentral:rRNA from 2 species
GUGAAGAUGCAGUGUACCCGCGGCAAGACGGAAAGACCCCGUGAACCUUUACUAUAGCUUGACACUGAACAUUGAGCCUUGAUGUGUAGGAUAGGUGGGAGGCUUUGAAGCGUGGACGCCAGUCUGCGUGGAGCCGACCUUGAAAUACCACCCUUUAAUGUUUGAUGUUCUAACGUGGAUCCGUAAUCCGGGUUGCGGACAGUGUCUGGUGGGUAGUUUGACUGGGGCGGUCUCCUCCUAAAGAGUAACGGAGGAGCACGAAGGUUGGCUAAUCCUGGUCGGACAUCAGGAGGUUAGUGCAAUGGCAUAAGCCAGCUUGACUGCGAGCGUGACGGCGCGAGCAGGUGCGAAAGCAGGUCAUAGUGAUCCGGUGGUUCUGAAUGGAAGGGCCAUCGCUCAACGGAUAAAAGGUACUCCGGGGAUAACAGGCUGAUACCGCCCAAGAGUUCAUAUCGACGGCGGUGUUUGGCACCUCGAUGUCGGCUCAUCACAUCCUGGGGCUGAAGUAGGUCCCAAGGGUAUGGCUGUUCGCCAUUUAAAGUGGUACGCGAGCUGGGUUUAGAACGUCGUGAGACAGUUCGGUCCCUAUCUGCCGUGGGCGCUGGAGAACUGAGGGGGGCUGCUCCUAGUACGAGAGGACCGGAGUGGACGCAUCACUGGUGUUCGGGUUGUCAUGCCAAUGGCACUGCCCGGUAGCUAAAUGCGGAAGAGAUAAGUGCUGAAAGCAUCUAAGCACGAAACUUGCCCCGA